rnacentral:rRNA from 1 species
UACGAAGGGGGGCUAGCGUUGCUCGGAAUCACUGGGCGUAAAGGGUGCGUAGGCGGGUUUUUAAGUCAGGGGUGAAAUCCUGGAGCUCAACUCCAGAACUGCCUUUGAUACUGAAGAUCUUGAGUCCGGGAGAGGUGAGUGGAACUGCGAGUGUAGAGGUGAAAUUCGUAGAUAUUCGCAAGAACACCAGUGGCGAAGGCGGCUCACUGGCCCAGUACUGACGCUGAGGCACGAAAGCGUGGGGGAGC